AUACUCUGGUUUCUUUUCAAAACGAAUAAAUCUUUCACCUUUUACUAAAUAUUUCCGUGGAGAGGAACAGUUAUGAGUUGGUAGCCACAUUUUUUUGAGGUCUUGCUCAGGCAAGUCU
rnacentral:snRNA from 1 species